GCAGGCCAGGGUGCAGGGAGCCUUAUGGUACCAUUUCUGUGCCUUUCUCUUCCCCAUUCUUUCUCCCUCUCCAUGUUGGGUGUUGUGUCCAAACAACAUAAGUGGCAAAACAGCAUCAGGACCAGAAGGCGCCCCGGGGCAUGCAGCAUCCCCCACCGACUCUCCAGACGGGGAGGCAGAGGUCCGGAGAGGGACAGUGACUUGCCCAAGGUCAGGUGCUCAUAAAGUCAGCAGUUCUCAAGCCUGGUGUGCUGAUCCCAGGGUGUGGCCGGUUAUUGCAAAGGUCAUUGCAACAUUCUCAAUCAU